AGAAGGAUGUCGAUGAGAUUGUCACGGAG
rnacentral:sRNA from 1 species